rnacentral:lncRNA from 1 species
AUGCAAGGGAACAGCAGCAACGGCCACCGCCUCCAAGUCACGUUCGCCACAGCCGGAGAACCCUGUGCCCGCAGAAUUUUUGCUUCGGGUUCCAGGAUAUUGAUAUUGAUUUUCCUUAGCCUAAGCCUAUGCCUCUCCAGCCCAAUGGUAGCUUAUAAUGGUCACAGCAGAAGAUCACUCUACAUAGGACCAGAACUUAAUAUCAGUAAUUGCNUGAUUCGUACUGAGAAGCUGAUGGACAUAACAAACAAGGAACGGCAUGAGAAGCAGGUACAGUAUUUUGCCUUGGUAGAACAUUAUCUGUCUGUCUAUCUACCUACCUACCUCUCCAAGAUUCAGGUUAAACAUUACAGGAAUAUCCCAAAUAUUUAGAAUUGUUGAGUAGCACAACAGUAUUCCUCACAUAAUGAAGAAUUCCCAUACACUGGAGAUUUAUAAACAGAGUCUGAAGGAUGGUUUAGCAGGUUCUUGAACUAAGCAGAAACAGGAUUAAGACUGCAUUCAUAAGUAGGGAAAAAACAUUUUAGCUUACAGAUGGUUUGCAGGUGGGGUUGUUCACANGCCAUUCGGUUAGUUUGUCCCUCUCCCCUCAUGAAAAUUCUAGGCUAAGAAAGGAACAUUAACAAUGGGAUGUAAACAUAAGAGUCACACACCACUGUCUCUAAGGCAGUGUGAAUGCAGCCUAAAUGACUUCCAAGAUUCCUUGCAACUCACAAGUUCUAUGAUUUUGUUAUGGAGUACCAAGACACGUUUGGAUAGCUGCUGGGCCUCUGUAAGCACCUUGUAAUAAUAGGGAAGCAUUUUGAGGGGCUGAGAUAACCUUAUAGCAUACCAUGCAUUUUUAGUUUUGCAGCAUCAACCAGCUUCUCCCUACACAUUAAACAAUUAGACAGAGCAAAUAUUUAACAACCAUAGAAUAUGCCAAGGAAGAUUCCAAACUGAAGUCCUCCAGCUGUCAGUCAAGAGGGAACACCAGUUAAUAACAUCAAAAUUUGUGCAACAGGAAGCAAGAUGGUAGAAAAUGUGUGAAACAGGAGAUAUGCAUCAAUUCAUGUUCCUGCUGCAUAUUAAAUUAGUGUUACAAGCCUGGCUUUUAAAUAACAGUAGUAGUAGUAGUAGCUGUUGUUAGGUGCCACUGAGUUAGGGCUAACUUUUCAUGAUUCUGUGAAUACAUCCAUUCGNUCAUCUUGGCAGAAGUGGUUUANCAUUGCUUUCUUUCAAGAUCCUGGAGACAAAAUCUCCAACAUUCUUAUUUUUAGAGUUGCUCUACCAUUGGUUUGUGUCUGCAAGAAACAUCAAAUCUCAAAAAGAUGACAGAGAAAAUAGUAAGGAGUGUAAAUGCAGCCCUCUGUUUUGGAAGGGCCCUUUUACUUAUUUGCUACGUUAAGAUAUGCAAUUCCUUCCAUGUAUUGUUAUUUAUUUACUACAUUAGUUUCAACACACACAGUAGUUCUCUGCACAACUCAGGCCAUGGAAUACACAGUUUAGAACGGCUUUAAAACUUUGGCCCUUCUCAUACUUGCCUUUAGUCCAGACUAAGAGGCCACAAAGUCUGCUUCUGGGCCUCACUGGUCUNCAUAUUGGUGCAGAUUUCAGAAGCCCCGCCCCCUGGUCUGCUUCAUCUGCAUUAGACAGAGCAUAGUCCUGACCAAGGAGACAAGUAGACUGUUUCAGCAGGUCUACCAGCAGACCAGCGGGCACUGAUCUAGACCAGCGGGCACUGAUCUAGACCAUGGAGAAGUACAGAAGGCACAUCUCCAUGAUCAGGACUACUGGGAGACUCAUUUCAGUGGCACAUGAAAGCACACUGCUGAAAUAUCACCACCCCAAUGGCUCUGGGACUAGGAACAAUAGUUCCUAACCCUUUGGAUCCUUCAGAGGCUGGCACCAAAACUCUCCUGAGCUUCAGGGUUAGGAAGCACGGUGGCGCAGAAGGCUAAGGCACUGAUCUUUCAAUAGGAGGAGCGGAGUUCAAGGCCCCUGUCUGCCAUGUAGAGGGGAUGAGCGCCCUCUACUGGCCUCUAGCUCCAGCCAACCUANCUGUUUGAAAGCAAGUAAUUGCAAGUAGAUAAACAGGGAGCGUCACAUUGUGUGAUGUGGAAGACAGACAGAUGUAAGCCUUCAGGCGAAAAAUAACCUUGUAAACCGCUUUGAGUCAGCUUCGGCCGAGAAAAGCGGGGUAUAAAACUAAGUUGUUGUUGUUCUUCUUCUUCAGGGUGGGAGUGGGAAUGGAGAUGGGGGCUGAUCUGGACCAGUGCUGUCAUGCAGAAGGUGCUGUUCCAGACCACANCUUUCUGUGGUCUGAACCAGCAGGCCUAGCUGGUCCAGACCCACUGGUUCACACCAUGAGGAGGUAAGGGCAGAAAUGGCCAAAGAUUCCUCCAAGUAGUUAAGCACUCAAACUUUGGCUGCAUCUGCACACAUGAAAAAGUGGCUUAGAGUUGGUAUUAUGCAGACACAUNUCAUCUNUAAUCCACAUGAAGGACCUUAGAAAUGCAUUUUCUGGCCUGUAAUGUGGAUUAGAGGCACCAGUGUGUGAAUGCUACCACCUCUAAGCUGCUUUCAAUCCACCUUUUUAUUGUCUGUAGAUGCAGUCUAAAAAGCUUACAUUGAUUUUAAGAAGCCUCCAUAUGACAUACCAUUCCAUAAUCUGGGUUCCUUCACAGAGAAGAUUCUUCCCCUAGUUGCUACUUGCCUAGGAGUCUCUGGAAAGGACACAUGUGAAAUCUUGGACUCUGCACUGACACCUGAAGCUCAGGUGGAGGCAGGGGCCAAGAGUGCCUACCUCUAGCUAUAGCUGGCUCACCAGCUAUGACCCCCUCUGGACAGAGAUGGCCACAGUAUUCCAUGCUUUGGUAACUUUCAGAUUGGAUUAUUGCAAUGCGUUUUACAUGGUUCUAUCCUUGAAGAUAAUUCAGAAGCUGCAGCUGGUGCAGAAUUAAGCAGCAAGACUGCUGACUGAAAUGGCUAUCCGGGAUGCAUAUCAUGCCAGUCUUAAAAGAGCUGCACUGGCUACCAGUUCACUACUGAGCCCAANUCAACCUGUUAACCUUAACCUAUAAGGCCCUAAAUGACUUGGGCCCCAAAUACCUAACAGAAUGUUUUCUCCCAUAUCGACCUGCCCAUGCCUUAACAUCUGCAGAUGAGGCCCUCCUGGUUGUACCACCACCUUCAGUACCUAGAGGGGUGAACAGUAGCUAGAGGAUAGGGCCUUUUCAGUAGUGGUCCCCAGACUGUGGAACACUCCCCCCCCCGAGGUGUGUCAAACAUCUUCCUACGUCUGUAGGAAGUGAAGACACACCUGUUUACCCUUUCCUUCAGCUAAGGAAACAGCUUAUCCUCCCCAUUUUCAGNCACUGUUACUGUUUCUAAUGUGCCCACUUUACAUUCUGUUUUUUAUUGUUGUAAUAUGCCCUGAGACCUUCAGGUACAGGGUGGAGUAAAAAUGCAAAUAAAUAAAUAAAUGUUGCUUCA